rnacentral:lncRNA from 1 species
ACUCGUGUGGCACUAUUUUUUAUUUAUCGACUUGGAAUUGUGAGAUUAAACCACCGAUGGUGCUAUUUAAGCAAAGCGCUCAAGGCAGUGAAUGAAAGGAGAAAAUUAAUUCACAGACUUAUGGUCUCAUGCAUGCAGGUUCGAUUCCAGUCUGAUCAUGAGUUGAAUGGGUAUUGUUAGAGCAGAAAGUGACUGCAAGAUUCGUACACGACAAUUUCUUCCUCACGACUUUGUCCUUCGUAAAAGAGCCCUC